CAGCAGCCGCGGGAAUACAGAGGGUGCGAGCGUUAAUCGGAUUUACUGGGCGUAAAGCGUGCGUAGGCGGCUUCUUAAGUCGGAUGUGAAAUCCCUGAGCUUAACUUAGGAAUUGCAUUCGAUACUGGGAAGCUAGAGUAUGGGAGAGGAUGGUAGAAUUCCAGGUGUAGCGGUGAAAUGCGUAGAGAUCUGGAGGAAUACCGAUGGCGAAGGCAGCCAUCUGGCCUAACACUGACGCUGAGGUACGAAAGCAUGGGGAGCAAACAGGAUUAGAUACCCCCGUAGUCCCUGUCUCUUAUAA
rnacentral:rRNA from 1 species